GAAUCUGCCCAUCUCAGUCGCAUUUCCACUAUGAAGAAUCCCUUGAAUGGUCCUGUGCGCAGUGAUCUUUCCUCUAUUGUUUCUGAUAGAGCCUUGUCUUGAACAAAAGAUCCAGAAGCUAGAGCUUCAGUAAAGGAUUCCUGUCACAACAUUAAAGAAAUAUGGACAGUCUUCAGUGAUGAAAUUGAUAAUGAACAAAAAUGAAAAUAAAACCAUGGUUAAUCAUAAAAGACAUACUGAGAAGAACAAAUUCGUGUUUAGAAGUGAGGAAAUCUAUUAAGUCGUCACUAAUGUAAGAGUUAUGUAGUUGGAACAAUGUUGGAGAGUCCAACUUGACACUCCUUCAGGCAAGGACAUACAAAUGACUAACCCCCCAGACCCCCAAUCCUGAGCCCUGCACAGGUCCCCUCUAUGGGAUUAGCCCUGAUUUAAUGGCUUUAUCUAAUUUGAACAUGAUACAUCCUUUCAGCUCUUAAAUUUCUCACAUCAAUCUUACUGAUCAUUUUUGGGGGUUUAAUCUGCCUAGUGUUUUAGGGGCUACACAUGAAUCUUUUUCAGUGACUUCACUCCUAGAAAUGCAUUCAUGGAGAAAUAGGAAAAAUAGCUGUCUUGUUGUGAACUGGCUUUCAGGGUGGAAUGCCCACUUGCUUUGUCUUAGGCUAACG